rnacentral:hammerhead_ribozyme from 1 species
AGCCAGCGACGAGUCCCAAAUAGGACGAAAUGCGCAUCCUGGAU